rnacentral:rRNA from 1 species
AUUGAACGCUGGCGGCAGGCCUAACACAUGCAAGUCGAGCGGGGUUUUCGGACCUAGCGGCGGACGGGUGAGUAAUGCGUAGGAGGCUGCGCGAUAGAGGGGGAUACCAGUUGGAAACGACUGUUAAUACCGCAUAAUGUCUACGGACCAAAGUGUGGGACCUUCGGGCCACAUGCUAUCGGAUGCGCCUACGUGGGAUUAGCUAGUUGGUGAGGUAAUGGCUCACCAAGGCGACGAUCUCUAGCUGGUUUGAGAGGAUGAUCAGCCACACUGGAACUGAGACACGGUCCAGACUCCUACGGGAGGCAGCAGUGGGGAAUAUUGGACAAUGGGCACAAGCCUGAUCCAGCCAUGCCGCGUGUGUGAAGAAGGCCUUCGGGUUGUAAAGCACUUUCAGCGAGGAGGAAGGGUGGUGUGUUAAUAGCACAUCAUUUUGACGUUACUCGCAGAAGAAGCACCGGCUAACUCUGUGCCAGCCGCCGCCGUAACAC